rnacentral:rRNA from 1 species
GACGAACGCUGGCGGCGUGCUUAACACAUGCAAGUCGAACGAUGAAGCCCAGCUUGCUGGGUGGAUUAGUGGCGAACGGGUGAGUAACACGUGGGCAACCUGCCCCAAACUCUGGGAUAACUCCUCGAAAGAGGUGCUAAUACCGGAUACGAACUAGGUAGACAUCUGCACUAGUUGGAAAGUUUUUCGGUUUGGGAUGGGCCCGCGGCCUAUCAGCUUGUUGGUGAGGUAACGGCUCACCAAGGCUACGACGGGUAACCGGCCUGAGAGGGCGACCGGUCACACUGGGACUGAGACACGGCCCAGACUCCUACGGGAGGCAGCAGUGGGGAAUAUUGCGCAAUGGGCGAAAGCCUGACGCAGCGACGCCGCGUGAGGGAUGAAGGUCUUCGGAUCGUAAACCUCUUUCAGUAGGGACGAAGCGAAAGUGACGGUACCUAAAGAAGAAGCACCGGCUAACUACGUGCCAGCAGCCGCAGUAA